UUCCGGUUGAUCCUGCCGGAGGACAUUGCUAUUGGGAUUCGAUUUAGCCAUGCUAGUCGAACGAGUUCACACUCGUGGCAGAUAGCUCAGUAACACGUGGCCAAGCUACCCUUCAGUCAGCGAUACCCUCGGGAAACUGAGGCUAAUAGCUGAUACUCGACGCCAGCUGGAAUGCGGCGUCGUCGAAAGACACCGCUGAAGGAUGCGGCUGCGGCCGAUUAGGUAGACGGUGGGGUAACGGCCCACCGUGCCAGUAAUCGGUACGGGUGAUGAGAGUCAGAGCCCGGAGACGGAAUCUGAGACAAGAUUCCGGGCCCUACGGGGCGCAGCAGGCGCGAAACCUUUACACUGCACGGAAGUGCGAUAGGGGAAUCCCAAGUGCGAGGGCAUAUUAGCCCUCGCUUUUGUUGACUGUAAGGUGGUCAACGAAUAAGAGCUGGGCAAGACCGGUGCCAGCCGCCGCGGUAAUACCGGCAGCUCAAGUGAUGUCCCAUAUUAUUGGGCCUAAAGCGUCCGUAGCUGGCCACCCAAGUCCAUCGGGAAAUCCACCUGCCCAACGGGUGGGCGUCCGGUGGAAACUGGCUGGCUUGGAACCGGAAGGCUCAGAGAGUACGUCCGGGGUAGGAGUGAAAUCCCGUAAUCCCGGACGGACUACCGAUGG
rnacentral:rRNA from 1 species